CCCCAAAAAGAAAAGAAGAGCUCAUAGCUGUGACUUUUCCGAACCAUCAAAUCUGUAAUCGUCUAAUGCCUCGUCUACAUUUAUUGCAAAUACCGAACAUGGUCGAACUAUUUUAUUCAUGCUUAAGUGAGGACUGUAACCCAAAAGAGUAAAGGUAGCAUGAAAACGCAGAGGUUCACUUGCAGUGUAUCCACGUCAUCUUAUUCCGCAGCAAAACAUGAUAGCUACGUGAAAAUGUAUCUAUCACGUCAGCAUCUUCUGCUAUCUUCACUUAAUCAUGAAAAAAAAAGAUUUGUUGAUACGCGUCGAUCAAGGAAUGCGUAUCUCGAAUGCAGCUCACUGUCCACUGGGAUGCUUUUCGAAAAGAGUGCAACCUGAGCUCUGCGAGCUCCCGAUACAAACAGCUGCUCUCGACGCAUUCUCGCCCGCCUUGUGCGCAAUCUUGCGCGCGUGCGAUGCCAAAGGCCAAAGUGCACGCUGGAAGGUGUCGGAUGCGUCGCCAGGCACGCCAGACAUGCCCCGAUGCCAUUUCGCAGCUUCUGAUCCUACACUCAAAUAGACACGUUUGAGUGCCAAUAUCAGCCGCGCUGGCUAAAUUCCUUCCUCCCGAACAAAAGCGAGAGGGGCGGGAGAUUCAGAUGCGGCGCUUCUGCAUGAGGCGGAGGAGAGGCAUUUUUAAAACCAAGGCCUUUUUGUUUCUCCAGGCAUUUUCCAACCCCUGCGCCUGAACCUCCCCCACUGAGAGCAUGCCGGCCGCCCCGCACAAGCGCUCAAAUUGUCCUCCUGCUUCCCAAAUUUGGGGCCCGAGUAGAACGAGGUCUUUGUCAAACUAUGACCCGGCCGGCCCUAUCCAUGGUCUGUUUGCCGGAUGAUGGCUGCUCUUGAUCUGUACAGUUGAUUACCCAACACCAAACCCUUCGAGUCUACAACAAGGUGGACUAGUAGUUAGCACACCUACCUCACAAUUUUGAACUGUUUGAAUUUUGACUUGCACCUUCCUGUGUGAAGUUUGCAUGUUGCAAAAAAAAAAAAAAAACUCAGUGACACCUCUGAAUAAUUGUGAAUGUGAGUGGGAAUGGUUAUGUGCCCUGACAUUAGCUGGCGAGCAGUCCAACAGUCACCAGCAGCCCUAAUGAGGACUAACAUUUCUCAAAAUGAAGGGUUGUAUUUAGUCUGCCAGGCAUUGUGUCAGGUGCAUAAGCCACGUGAGUGUUUGUGUGUGUGUGUGUGUGUGUGUGUGUGUGUGUGUGUGUGUGUGUGUGUGUGUGUGUGUGUGUGUCGAGAUGGCCCACAGCAGCUGGGAAUGCCCGUUGACCUCAAAGCGACUCUGCCAAGGUCAGCGAGGAAAUCUAAAGCUCGAAAAUGGCAACAAUCACCGCGGCCGCUGCCAAACCAUCAGAAAUCCGCGGCACGACCCAAGCAUGAUGUCAUCAACUUCCGGGGCGACCACCCGAAGACCCGCAGUCACGUGGCUGAUCCGAGCCCGACUUGGAAGCGUUGUGCCUCUUCAGCGCCAACCCGCCAACCACAGGCGUGCCCCGGCAGCCCCGCAGGAUCGUGUAAACUCACCAGCCAAAACAACAUUAGGUACUCGAAGCAAAGAGCAACCAGGAGCAGAUCUCAGCUGACUCUCUGCUGGCCUAAUCUGAAUUUGGUUCAUGGAAAAAAAAAACACCACAAUGCACAAUGAUAAUCAUAAUAUAAACAUAGUGCAGUUGCGCAUAGCGUACCCUCUCCAGUUUGGUGUCACCAUGAGGGGAAAGUGAAACCCUUGUAAUCACCAGUCAUUUUAUAGCUCAUACAUCAAGCCAGACACAGAUUUUACGAUCUCAUUUAUUCCACUGCUUCAGGGGAGCCGCCGCCAUCUUUGCACUUAUUGUCCCGCCAGUGCCACAAGAGCUGCCUCUGUGCACUCGUCCGCCUCGCAUUCUCCGAUGCGCGGGCGGGAUGGAUCAUUGGAGUGACGUCAGCGUUGCAGACGGGGACGCCUGUCGGGAGGGGCGCACGGGAGGGCGUCGGUAGAAAAUCCGCCAAGGAUGAGCGAAGAACUCAUUCAAGGACGGGAAGAAAUGGGAGCACUCCGACGCCCCCUGUGGUUCGCAGGUGGAACUUGUACCGAUGCGUUUGCUGCUGUGCGACAAAGGCCGACAUUGUCCCGGGUCACGUGAUGUCGCUGUAAAUGAUUUCAAGAGGGCGCCAUUAUUUUUUUUACUACGUUUGCAAUCGAGACAGUCACCGGUGGGAAGACUUUUGAUGAGACGAUCGUUUGCCUUUCGGUUUGAGGAGGUUUGGAAAUACAAAAUUUACGAGGCUGACGUCUGUCGUAGGGCCAGGUUACGAGGUCGACCCACUUUCGGCGAUGUUUGUUUCUCGUUUGUGCUCUUUGGCCUCAAGGUGUUACCCAGGAGAUGCCGCUUUAGGUACUCAACUUAUGGGAGCAAGCAAGGUUUAAGGUUUUUAAAAAAAAUAAUAAUAAUCUGUUAAACGUCU